GGAAACUGGAAAGACUUCAAAGAUUUAUAAGUCAGGCUGGGGCUUUGCCCAGGCAAUAGCAGUGUUUCCUGGCAGUGACCCUCAUACAUAACAUGAUGGCUAUGGUAAUCUAAGAGCACACUCAAUGGAAGUUUCAUCUCAUAUUUAGCAUUUCUUCCAAUGGAGGUGAUGGGGUGACUGUGGGGGAACAAUGCUGGCUUCCCACAUGUGGGCAUGCUGGGGAAAAGUUGAACUCACAAAGUUCUGCCUAUGUAUCCAACUGCUGCUGACUUGUGAACAUACCAAAGUGUAAAAUGUUGUUUCUAGAUGAAAGUCAAGGUGGGAAAUAGGUAAACAGAGAUUGCUCAGAGAAAUUAGGCUGAGAUAUUGCAUUCUGCUCUCAUGCCAGUACUGAGCAAGAGGAAGGCUGCUUGUGGAAAAUGAGGCCCUGUGUUUGUGUGUGCCCACGAAUAUGCACAUAUGCAAUGUAUUACCUGUAUAGAUUUUCCUGUUUCCAGCAUAAUAGUCUCUCUGUUAUGAACUCACUGAGGAAUCCCCUGCUUCAUCCUAAAUAUAUGAGUUCCAGGCCUGAUUCUGACAGGAGAGUGCCUCCAGGGGAAUAUGCAGUGGGAUUUGCAUGUGCUUUACAGACAAAAACAGAAAUAAAGAGAAACCAUCUGUGCAACUCAAAAAAUGUUCAUUAUUGUUUUUUGAAAAUUGUUUCCUCUUUGCCUCAUACUUAUGCUUCUCCUCUUUCCUCAUCUCCUCUGAUUCAGUAUGUUCUUGAAACAGCUCUUGCAUUCCCUACUCCCUUCUACAUCAACAAUAUUGCAACAUGAAAAACGUUUCCAGUUUUAUAAAGAGCUGUGGAAAAUGUCCUUUAAAGCUCACUCUUAAACAGAAAGAAAAUUUAAUACUGUCUGCUUAAUUUCUGCAGUUCCUCCCAGUCAAGUUCUUACUCAUUUUCCCCCAUCCUCUUCUUCAUUCUCCAAGAAGGAGCGAAGUGCAGCUCUGAAUUGCGUAAUGCAAUUGCAGUGUUGGUAUAAGAUCUACAUUAAUGGCUACAAGAUAAUCUGCCAUUUCAUUUUCUUUAAUCACAUGAAUACAAACACAUGUGUGUGCAUUGAUCCUACACAUUUCUACUUGUGAGAAAGUCUUACUGGGUUCAGUAGUGCUUACUUCCAUGCAAACAUCUAUGGAAUUCCAAACAAAGCCACUUUAGUCCUGCGAAUCCCACACCCCAGAUCAGCAGAAUCUCUCUCUCUUUGACUUUUCAAUCUCCUUGUUUUACUGGUGCGUGGGUAUUUUCCUAAUAAAUGUAUAAGCAAACAGGAUCACUAUAAGCAUAAAUGUUUCUCAGCCAGUUCCUUGUUUUGAGUGCAAGGAGAAAAAGUACCUGCCUUUUCAAAUAUCACAUUCAACAUCUAAGGGCUCACAUUUCCAGUUGUAGUAGCACUGGAUUUGGAGCAUGGAAAGCAAUGUGGGAACUUGCCCUUGUGUAGCAGCUAAUUGGAGUCCUCUUGACAUAUGCCAGAACUGGAGGACAGUGCAGGACGGUAAAGAUAGAAGGUGUUAGCCACAGCCAUGGUACACUGUCUUGAGUUGAAGGUACUCUGUACUGUUCUUGGCAGAGCUAUCCAGAAAGCAUUUACAAAUGGCACAAAGAUGUGCAUGCAAGGGAACUGUUUUUACAGUCCUUUAUAUAUACCUGCACAUUACUACUCUCUCUCUCAACAUCAAUCUUAGUAGAGUCAUAAAAUUCACCUUAGAGAAAAUAACUAUACUUCAAAAAAGGAAGAAUUUACCUUAAAGAAUAUAUAUAUAUAUCAAAAAAUGCAAGCACCUGCUGUGGUUCAGCAACAUAGGUUAAGAUCUUGAUGAAGGACUCAUUCCUAAAAAAGAAAAAUGUUCUUUCCCAGAACCAGGUGCUAGCUUCUCCAGUAUGGUUGAUUUAUUGGAAGAGGAGUGAUACGUACAACACAUUGAAGCAAAUGUGAGCUCUGUGACAGGUCUAAUCUCUGCUCAGUUGAGCUCUGUGCUGAGAUUACCAUGUGCAUUCAUGACUCUGAGAAGAUGAUGUUUCUUCUGCAUCUGCAGGUGCCGUUUUGCUGGGUCCGUCCAUGACUUGCCCUGCUUUAGUUCUUCUCAAAUUCUGGGUUGUCGAUGCUCCCGCUGAGUCUCCUUUCAUGCAUCAGUAAAUGUUAUCAUAUUUCAGAGUAUAAGACUACAAGUCUUGCAAUGAGCUUGCCAGCUAAAGAGCCUAGGGAUUCAGAUAGAUAUUUGAAUUAGAUUUGCUCGUGUGAGAUUUGUAGAGGGCCAUAGGAUUUAUUGAGGAGUUUGCAUAUUGAUUGUCUGAAUUGUGGCUGCCAGCUACUGCAGUUCAAAGCACUUAAUUUAGCAUGGGCUUGGACUCUCUGUUCUCCCAGUGCACCAUGUCCACCUGUGCCUGCAUUUUCUGGCCUGUACUCUCCUCUUGUUCUUAGGUUUCAUAUUUGCUUUUAUUAUUCUAAUUCUAGUGAGAGCUUUUUGCCAGCAUCUAAGCCCUUUACAGGAAUUGCAGUUAUUGUGUUCCACUGUGCUAUAUAUUGAAGGUUUCUGGUUUAAUUUAGUGGAACUUAAAAUCAAUUGAAAGGGAAAUUAAAAUAUUAACAUAUUGUAGAUGGCUAGCUUGAUUAAAAUACUGGUGGUGCCUAUGUUUAUUAGAGUACAUUAGUGGAAAGAAUUAUUGAAUCAGCUUUUCAGCAGAGUGCUUUACAAACAUUUAGUCAAUUAAGCUUCACAGAGCCACCUUGUCGGGUUGUCCACAUUCACCUUUGUCAUUUAUGGAUGUAAGAAGGAACUGAGGUAUGGUUAUUAGGCAACAGCACAUUCCAGCCACAAGUGCCAUUGCCCAAGCAUGGUCACAUGUUGCAUUACUAACGAUGGUAUUGGCAUCCUGCUAAGGAGCAUAAAAUAUAUCAUCACAUAACCAAAAUGCAAAGCAAAAGUGAUUUUAUUACAAACAAGAUACCUGAUGCAACAUUUUAACAAACUAAAGACCUGUAGGCAAAGAUUUAGCAGAUUAAUUCAAGCCAAUACAGUCGUACCUCAUGUUGCGUUAGGUUCAUGUUGCAUCUUUGCCGAAUGCGGCAAACCCGGAAGUGUAUACUUCUGCGUUUCGCCGCGCGCACGCGCACAGAAGUAUUCUGCGUGCUUCGCAGAUGCGCAGAAGUGCUCUAUCGUGCAGAACGCUUGCGCAGAAGUUUCACUCUAGUUGCAGACUUUUCAGGGUGCAAACGGCACCCCAGAAUGGAUCAUGUCCACAAUUAGAGGUACCACUGUAUGUAGAAUUCCCCUCUUCCUCUCUCCAAAUUUCCCUUUCUACUGUUCCUUGAGUUUUGAUGCCUCUUGGGGAUUAUCAAGUGCAGGCCCUGAGAUGAUUUCUGUCCUUUUAAGAGUUUAAAAUACAGCCUUCCCAUUAUUAGUAGCAUUAUUAUUUAUAAACUGCUUAUUAUGCAAUGGUUAGCCUGUUGAGCUGUGACCUCGGAGACCAGGGUUCAAAUCCCCAUUCAGUCAUGAAGUUCACUAGGUGACCUUGAGCCAGUCACUGUCUGUCAGCCUGACCUACCUCACAGGGUUGCUGUUGGGCUUUUAUGAAGAGAGGGAGAGCCUCACAUUGAGUUUGUUGGGCAAACAAAUAAUUUCACAAUACCAAAGUGGUAUGC
rnacentral:lncRNA from 1 species